UACGAAGGGGGCUAGCGUUGCUCGGAAUUACUGGGUGUAAAGGGCGCGUAGGCGGAUAUCUAAGUUGGGGGUGAAAUCCCGGGGCUCAACCUCGGAAUUGCCUUCAAAACUGGAUAUCUUGAGUUCGGGAGAGGUGAGUGGAACUCCGAGUGUAGAGGUGAAAUUCGUAGAUAUUCGGAAGAACACCAGUGGCGAAGGCGACUCACUGGCCCGAUACUGACGCUGAGGCGCGAAAGCGUGGGGAGCGAACGGG
rnacentral:rRNA from 1 species